GAGAGAGAAAGAAAGAGACUGACCAGAGAGAUAGAGUUGUGCACCAAUAAGAAAUGCAUGUAACUCAUUAGCCUUGCAAGUGGCCUACGAUUUUGGCCUUGAAUCUCAAUCAACCUUACCCAUUUUAUAAGAGCGAACGAUGAAGUUCUUGAAGUGCUUGCUUCAAAUGGAUUUGGAAUACUUUCCUGUGUAGUUAGACAUUCCG
rnacentral:misc_RNA from 1 species